GAUGAACGCUGGCGGCGUGCCUAAUACAUGCAAGUCGAGCGAACGGACGAGAAGCGCGCUUCUCUGAUGUUAGCGGCGGACGGGUGAGUAACACGUGGAUAACCUACCUAUAAGACUGGGAUAACUUCGGGAAACCGGAUCUAAUACCGGAUAAUAUUUUGAACCGCAUGGUUCAAGAGAGAAAGACGGUUUUGCUGACACUUAUAGAUGGAUCCGCGCUGCAUUAGCUAGUUGGUAAGGUAACGGCCUACCAAGGCAACGAUGCAUAGCCGACCUGAGAGGGUGAUCAGCCACACUGGAACUGAGACACGGUCCAGACUCCUACGGGAGGCAGCAGUGGGGAAUCUUCCGCAAUGGGCGAAAGCCUGACGGAGCAACGCCGCGUGGGUGAAGAAGGUCUUCGGGUCGUAAAACUCUUUUAUUAGGGAAGAAAAUAUGUGUAAGUAACUCUGCACGUCUUGACGGUACCUAAUCAAAAAGCCACGGCUAACUUCGUG
rnacentral:rRNA from 1 species